UACGGAGGAGGCAAGCGUUAUCCAGAAUUAUUGGGCGUAAAGCGUCCGUAGGUGGCUAGUCAAGUCUGCGGUCAAAGACUGGGGCUUAACCCUGGAAAGGCCGUGGAAACUGACGAGCUAGAGUGCAGUAGGGGUAGAGGGAAUUCCCGGUGUAGCGGUGAAAUGCGUAGAGCUCGGGAAGAACAUCGGUGGCGAAAGCGCUCUACUGGACUGCAACUGACACUCAGGGACGAAAGCUAGGGGAGCGAAUGGG
rnacentral:rRNA from 1 species